ensembl:lncRNA
GUUUGGUUUGCACUGCAUUCGUUGUUGCUUGAAGGAAACCCUGGUGUGCGACUGUGAAGACAUCACGGGGUGAUAUCUGAAGAUACUGCAUAGUUACGCACAAAAACAUGUCCUGACAGUCACCAAUGUCGACUAGACAUUAAAUUAUCAUUGAUGUUUUUUUUUUUUUUUUCAUGUCGGAUUUGUUACCAUUUUAUUCACUGUGCUACUCGAUAUUUGACAGUGUGAGUUGGUUUCCUUUGCCCGUGCCAUACACUGCACUGGUCUGUGACAGGGAAAAAGUGCUGCCCAGAAGGUGAUAGAGGAGCUCCAAGACUAUUUAUUGCCAGCACUUUUCUCUCCAACCUUGUCCCUCAGAGUUGCAACAGAUGCUCACCACCACCACAGCUCUCAAGGCAAAGAAUGACAUCAUCUAGAUUUCAAGCGAUUCCAGUCACAGACAUAGAAGGAUCUGCUCCCUGCCAGUGGAAAUGCGAACCGUUUCUGAACAAGCAGCACUCUUGGCUGAGCACCAGCUCCAGCUCCACCAGGUGCCACCCCUGGCCACCAUGUAGACCUGCCCCUGAUGACUUGCACUACAAGAGAGCUGCAUCUUCACUUGACAAAGUAUUAUAAGUACUGUUCCCAUUUUUGAUUGUCAUGUAUCAUAAUAUACCUUAAUUCUGACAGUUCAUACUUAUAUUUUCAAUUUUUUAUUAUCUGUACCCUAAAGCUUGACUUGAUUGUUUAAUUUCCAGGGAUCCCUAACACAAACAUGGUGAAGCUGUUCAGUAAAAAAAGCAAACAAGAUUAGAAAUGGUUAAGGGAUUGGGACUUACUUUGAAAUAUUACUGAACCUCUACAGUUUAUUGUAUGUUUGUAAUAUUACAUAGACUAUUCUUCAUAAUUGAAUUUAAAAAAAUAAUUUAAUUUAUAAUGCAAUAAUUUAACAUGUAUUAAAUG